rnacentral:rRNA from 1 species
GACGAACGCUGGCGGCGUGCCUAAUACAUGCAAGUCGAGCGAAUCUAUGGGAGCUUGCUCCCUGAGAUUAGCGGCGGACGGGUGAGUAACACGUGGGUAACCUGCCUGUAAGACUGGGAUAACUUCGGGAAACCGGAGCUAAUACCGGAUACUUUCUUUUCUCGCAUGAGGGAAGAUGGAAAGAUGGUUCUGCUAUCACUUACAGAUGGACCCGCGGCGCAUUAGCUAGUUGGUGAGGUAACGGCUCACCAAGGCGACGAUGCGUAGCCGACCUGAGAGGGUGAUCGGCCACACUGGGACUGAGACACGGCCCAGACUCCUCCGGGAGGCAGCAGUAGGGAAUCUUCCGCAAUGGACGAAAGUCUGACGGAGCAACGCCGCGUGAGCGAAGAAGGCCUUCGGGUCGUAAAGCUCUGUUGUUAGGGAAGAACAAGUACGAGAGUAACUGCUCGUACCUUGACGGUACCUAACCAGAAAGCCACGGCUAACUACGUGCCAGCCGCCGCCGUAAAAC